rnacentral:rRNA from 1 species
AGGGUUUGAUCAUGGCUCAGGACGAACGCUGGCGGCGUGCCUAACACAUGCAAGUCGAGCGAUGAAGUUCCUUCGGGAACGGAUUAGCGGCGGACGGGUGAGUAACACGUGGGCAACCUGCCUUAUAGAGGGGAAUAGCCUUCCGAAAGGAAGAUUAAUACCGCAUAAGAUUGUAGCUUCGCAUGAAGCAGCAAUUAAAGGAGCAAUCCGCUAUAAGAUGGGCCCGCGGCGCAUUAGCUAGUUGGUGAGGUAACGGCUCACCAAGGCGACGAUGCGUAGCCGACCUGAGAGGGUGAUCGGCCACAUUGGGACUGAGACACGGCCCAG